UACGAAGGGGGCUAGCGUUGCUCGGAAUGACUGGGCGUAAAGCGCGCGCAGGCGGUCUUCCAAGUCAGUGGUGAAAGCCCGGAGCUCAACUCCGGAACUGCCAUUGAAACUGUUAGACUUGAGGACGAGAGAGGUGAGUGGAAUUCCCAGUGUAGAGGUGAAAUUCGUAGAUAGUUAGGGAAGAACCGCGGUGGCGAAGGCGGCUCACUGGCUCGUAUCUGACGCUCAGGCGCGACAGCGUGGGGAUCAAACAGG
rnacentral:rRNA from 1 species